CACGGGGGGAGCAAGCGUUGUUCGGAAUCACUGGGCGUAAAGGGCGUGUAGGCGGUCAGGUAAGUGAGACGUGAAAUGCCCCGGCUUACCCGGGGACCUGCGUCUCAUACUGCUUGGCUUGAGUACGGGAGAGGGUGUGGGAAUUCCUGGUGUAGCGGUGAAAUGCGUAGAUAUCAAGAGGAACACCUGAGGUGAAGACGGGUUGCUGGGCUGAUACUGACGCUGAGGCGCGAAAGCUAGGGUAGCAAACGGG
rnacentral:rRNA from 1 species